AACGAACGCUGGCGGCGUGCUUAACACAUGCAAGUCGAACGUGAAAGUGGCUUCGGCCAUGAGUAAAGUGGCAGACGGGUGAGUAACACGUGGGUAACCUGCCCCUUGGCGGGGGAUAACCAUUCGAAAGGAUGGCUAAUACCGCAUAAGACCACGUCCUUCUGGGACGGGGUAAGAGGCGAAAGUCACCGAGGGAGGGGCCCGCGGCCGAUUAGCUAGUUGGUGAGGUAAUGGCUCACCAAGGCGACGAUCGGUAGCUGGUCUGAGAGGAUGAUCAGCCACACUGGUACUUAGACACGGACCAGACUCCUACGGGAGGCAGCAGUGGGGAAUAUUGCGCAAUGGACGAAAGUCUGACGCAGCAACGCCGCGUGGGUGAAGAAGGCCUUCGGGUCGUAAAGCCCUGUCAGGUGGGAAGAAACCUGCGUAAGCAGCUGACGGUACCACCAAAGGAAGCACCGGCUAACUCCGUGCCAGCCGCCGCCGUAACAC
rnacentral:rRNA from 1 species